rnacentral:miRNA from 1 species
CUUUACCAAUCACUUCUGCCAAACAUUUAAAAAAUUAAUAUUUUUAAAUUAAUAUUUUUAAAUGUUUGGCAGAAGUGAUUGGUAAAA